rnacentral:rRNA from 1 species
GGGCCCGCACAAGCGGUGGAGCAUGUGGUUUAAUUCGAUGAUACGCGAGGAACCUUACCAGGACUUAAAUGUAAGUUGCAUGAUUCAGAAAUGAAUCUUUCUUCGGACUACUUACAAGGUGCUGCAUGGUUGUCGUCAGCUCGUGCCGUGAGGUGUCAGGUUAAGUCCUAUAACGAGCGCAACCCCUAUCUUUAGUUGCUAGCAGGUAAUGCUGAGGACUCUAAAGAAACUGCCUACGCAAGUAGUGAGGAAGGCGGGGACGACGUCAAGUCAUCACGGCCCUUACGUCCUGGGCCACACACGUGCUACAAUGGUAGAUACAGAGGGCAGCUACCCCGCGAGGGGAUGCGAAUCUCGAAAGUCUAUCUCAGUUCGGAUUGGAGUCUGCAACUCGACUCUAUGAAGCUGGAAUCGCUAGUAAUCGCGCAU